CAGGCUUAACACAUGCAAGUCGAGGGGCAGCACAGGUAGCAAUACCGGGUGGCGACCGGCGCACGGGUGAGUAACGCGUAUGCAACUUACCUAUCAGAGGGGGAUAACCCGGCGAAAGUCGGACUAAUACCGCAUGAAGCAGGGGCCCCGCAUGGGGAUAUUUGCUAAAGAUUCAUCGCUGAUAGAUAGGCAUGCGUUCCAUUAGGCAGUUGGCGGGGUAACGGCCCACCAAACCGACGAUGGAUAGGGGUUCUGAGAGGAAGGUCCCCCACAUUGGUACUGAGACACGGACCAAACUCCUACGGGAGGCAGCAGUGAGGAAUAUUGGUCAAUGGCCGAGAGGCUGAACCAGCCAAGUCGCGUGAGGGAUGAAGGUUCUAUGGAUCGUAAACCUCUUUUAUAAGGGAAUAAAGUGCGGGACGUGUCCCGUUUUGUAUGUACCUUAUGAAUAAGGAUCGGCUAACUCCGUGCCAGCAGCCGCGGUAAUACGGAGGAUCCGAGCGUUAUCCGGAUUUAUUGGGUUUAAAGGGUGCGUAGGCGGCCUUUUAAGUCAGCGGUGAAAGUCUGUGGCUCAACCAUAGAAUUGCCGUUGAAACUGGGGGGCUUGAGUAUGUUUGAGGCAGGCGGAAUGCGUGGUGUAGCGGUGAAAUGCAUAGAUAUCACGCAGAACCCCGAUUGCGAAGGCAGCCUGCCAAGCCAUUACUGACGCUGAUGCACGAAAGCGUGGGGAUCAAACAGGAUUAGAUACCCUGGUAGUCCACGCAGUAAACGAUGAUCACUAGCUGUUUGCGAUACACUGUAAGCGGCACAGCGAAAGCGUUAAGUGAUCCACCUGGGGAGUACGCCGGCAACGGUGAAACUCAAAGGAAUUGACGGGGGCCCGCACAAGCGGAGGAACAUGUGGUUUAAUUCGAUGAUACGCGAGGAACCUUACCCGGGUUUGAACGCAUUCGGACCGAGGUGGAAACACCUUUUCUAGCAAUAGCCGUUUGCGAGGUGCUGCAUGGUUGUCGUCAGCUCGUGCCGUGAGGUGUCGGCUUAAGUGCCAUAACGAGCGCAACCCUUGCCACUAGUUACUAACAGGUAAAGCUGAGGACUCUGGUGGGACUGCCAGCGUAAGCUGCGAGGAAGGCGGGGAUGACGUCAAAUCAGCACGGCCCUUACAUCCGGGGCGACACACGUGUUACAAUGGCGUGGACAAAGGGAAGCCACCUGGCGACAGGGAGCGAAUCCCCAAACCACGUCUCAGUUCGGAUCGGAGUCUGCAACCCGACUCCGUGAAGCUGGAUUCGCUAGUAAUCGCGCAUCAGCCAUGGCGCGGUGAAUACGUUCCCGGGCCUUGUACACACCGCCCGUCAAGCCAUGGGAGCCGGGGGUACCUGAAGUCCGUAACCGCGAGGAUCGGCCUAGGGUAAAACUGGUGACUGGGG
rnacentral:rRNA from 1 species